CAGCACUUCGUUUCCCCUUUUCUAUCAGGAGCAAGAGAAACCAAAAGGCUGCAGAUCGCAAGCAAAGAACAAGAGAAUGGAGGGGGAUUUGAUCCAUAUCAAAAUGCAUCAUGGGGGUACAUUUUCAAUGGAAGGACCACUUACUUAUGAUGGUGGCGAAGUGUCUAUUUUUCGAGACUGUGACAGUGAGCGUACAUCGUAUUUUC